rnacentral:rRNA from 1 species
CCUACGGGAGGCUGCAGUGAGGAAUAUUGGUCAAUGGGCGCGAGCCUGAACCAGCCAAGUAGCGUGAAGGAUGACUGCCCUACGGGUUGUAAACUUCUUUUAUCAAGGAAUAAAGUGAGGCACGUGUGCCUUUUUGUAUGUACUUUAUGAAUAAGGAUCGGCUAACUCCGUGCCAGCAGCCGCGGUAAUACGGAGGAUCCGAGCGUUAUCCGGAUUUAUUGGGUUUAAAGGGAGCGUAGAUGGGUUGUUAAGUCAGGUGUGAAAGUUUGCGGCUCAACCGUAAAAUUGCCAUUGAUACUGGCAGGCUUGAGUACAGGUGAGGUAGGCGGAAUUCGUGGUGUAGCGGUGAAAUGCUUAGAUAUCACGAAGAACUCCGAUUGCGAAGGCAGCGUACGAAACUGCCACUGACAUUGAUGCUCGAAAGUGUGGGUAUCAAACAGGAUUAGAUACCCUUGUAGUC